rnacentral:rRNA from 1 species
GUCGAGAAUCUUUCACAAUGGGGGCAACCCUGAUGGAGCGACGCCGCGUGGAGGAUAAGGUCUUCGGAUUGUAAACUCCUGUCAUGCGUGAACAAGGUUGCUUGGUUAAUACCUGGGCAAAUUGAUGGUAACGCAAGAGGAAGAGACGACUAACUCUGUGCCAGCAGCCGCGGUAAUACAGAGGUCUCAAGCGUUGUUCGGAAUCACUGGGCGUAAAGGGUGCGUAGGUGGCGUGGUAAGUCAGAUGUGAAAGCCCGGGGCUCAACCUCGGAACUGCAUCCGAUACUGCCAUGCUAGAGUACUGGAGAGGUGACUAGAAUUCUCGGUGUAGCAGUGAAAUGCGUAGAUAUCGAGAGGAAUACCAAAGGCGUAGGCAGGUCACUGGACAGUUACUGACACUGAGGCACGAAGGCCAGGGGAGCGAACGGGAUUAGAAACCCGUGUAGUCC